CUGUUACUCAGAAGAGUAACUGUCAGGAUGACAAAGGAUAACCUCAGGAUGAGGUAACUGUUGCUCAGGAAGAGUAACUGUCAGGACGACAAAGGAACACCUCAGGAUGGAGUCGUUGUUACUCAGGAAGAGUAGCAAGCCAGGAUGGCAGAAGGAUCCACCACAAGAUGUGGUUAUCAGGAACUCUUCACGGAUGAAGAAAGUAACAGUCACGGAUUGAUUGUUACGCAGGAUGCUUAAAAGGAUGUCCCGAUGGAUCGGGGAAGGCCUUCAAGGAUGAGAUAAGACGAUGCUGUAGCAUCGCCGGCUUGGGCAACCAAGAUUUUAUAGGGGGUGACUCAUGUCGCCCUUUUAUUUUU
rnacentral:other from 1 species